UAAUAAGUGUUUUAUGGCACUUUUUAAAUCCAUAUCCACCUUGUGUGCAAUGUCAGCCGUUUUCUUUAUGAAAGCGGCCAAACAUCAACUUAUUUUUUAACUGUCUGUCUGAAAACUAUUAUGAAUAAACAAUUCAAAUA
rnacentral:misc_RNA from 1 species